GAUGAACGCUGGCGGCGUGCCUAACACAUGCAAGUCGAACGGACUUACAUUGAAGCCUAGCGAUAUGUAAGUUAGUGGCGGACGGGUGAGUAACGCGUGGGUAACCUGCCUUGUACUGGGGGACAACAGUUGGAAACGACUGCUAAUACCGCAUAAGCGCACAGCUUCGCAUGAAGCAGUGUGAAAAACUCCGGUGGUAUGAGAUGGACCUGCGUCUGAUUAGCUAGUUGGCGGGGUAACGGCCCACCAAGGCGACGAUCAGUAGCCGACCUGAGAGGGUGACCGGCCACAUUGGGACUGAGACACGGCCCAA
rnacentral:rRNA from 1 species